rnacentral:rRNA from 1 species
UACGAGGGGAGCAAGCGUUGUUCGGAUUUACUGGGCGUAAAGGGCGCGUAGGCGGUUUGUCGCGUCGGGAGUGAAAACUCAGGGCUCAACCCUGAGCGUGCUUCCGAUACGGGCAGACUAGAGGUAUGCAGGGGAGAACGGAAUUCCUGGUGUAGCGGUGGAAUGCGCAGAUAUCAGGAGGAACACCGGUGGCGAAGGCGGUUCUCUGGGCAUUACCUGACGCUGAGGAGCGAAAGCAUGGGGAGCGAACAGG